rnacentral:rRNA from 1 species
AUUGAACGCUGGCGGCAGGCCUAACACAUGCAAGUCGAGCGAGCGGCGGACGGGGGAGUAAUGUAUGGGGACUGCCCGAUAGAGGGGGAUAACUACUGGAAACGGUAGCUAAUACCGCAUACUAUCGGAUAACCCAUAUGGGAUUAGCUAGUUGGUGAGGUAAUGGCUCACCAAGGCGACGAUCCCUAGCUGGUCUGAGAGGAUGAUCAGCGACGCUGGGACUGAGACACGGCCCAGACUCCUACGGAGGUACGAGGGGGGAUUAUGGCACAAGGGGCGCAAGCCGGAGGCAGCCAGUCCGUGUGUAUGAAGAGGGCCUUAGGGUUGUAAGGUCCUUUCAGUCGGGAGGCGUUACCGGCAGAAGAAGCCCCGGCUAACUCCGUGCCAGCAGCCGCGGUAAUAC